UACGAAGGGGGCUAGCGUUGCUCGGAAUCACUGGGCGUAAAGCGCACGUAGGCGGAUUGCUAAGUCAGGGGUGAAAUCCUGGAGCUCAACUCCAGAACUGCCUUUGAUACUGGCGAUCUCGAGUCCGGGAGAGGUGAGUGGAACUGCGAGUGUAGAGGUGAAAUUCGUAGAUAUUCGCAAGAACACCAGUGGCGAAGGCGCUCACUGGCCCGGUACUGACGCUGAGGUGCGAAAGCCAGGGGAGCAAAGCGGG
rnacentral:rRNA from 1 species